rnacentral:rRNA from 1 species
GACGAACGCUGGCGGCGUGCCUAAUACAUGCAAGUCGAACGAACUCUGGUAUUGAUUGGUGCUUGCAUCAUGAUUUACAUUUGAGUGAGUGGCGAACUGGUGAGUAACACGUGGGAAACCUGCCCAGAAGCGGGGGAUAACACCUGGAAACAGAUGCUAAUACCGCAUAACAACUUGGACCGCAUGGUCCGAGCUUGAAAGAUGGCUUCGGCUAUCACUUUUGGAUGGUCCCGCGGCGUAUUAGCUAGAUGGUGGGGUAACGGCUCACCAUGGCAAUGAUACGUAGCCGACCUGAGAGGGUAAUCGGCCACAUUGGGACUGAGACACGGCCCAAACUCCUACGGGAGGCAGCAGUAGGGAAUCUUCCACAAUGGACGAAAGUCUGAUGGAGCAACGCCGCGUGAGUGAAGAAGGGUUUCGGCUCGUAAAACUCUGUUGUUAAAGAAGAACAUAUCUGAGAGUAACUGUUCAGGUAUUGACGGUAUUUAACCAGAAAGCCACGGCUAACUACGUGCCAGCAGCCGCGGUAAUACGUAGGUGGCAAGCGUUGUCCGGAUUUAUUGGGCGUAAAGCGAGCGCAGGCGGUUUUUUAAGUCUGAUGUGAAAGCCUUCGGCUCAACCGAAGAAGUGCGUCGGAAACUGGGAAACUUGAGUGCAGAAGAGGACAGUGGAACUCCAUGGUAAGCGGUGAAAUGCGUAGAUAUAUGGAAGAACACCAGUGGCGGAAGGCGGCUGUCUGGUCUGUAACUGACGCUGAGGCUCGAAAGUAUGGGUAGCAAACAGGAUUAGAUACCCUGGUAGUCCAUACCGUAAACGAUGAAUGCUAAGUGUUGGAGGGUUUCCGCCCUUCAGUGCUGCAGCUAACGCAUUAAGCAUUCCGCCUGGGGAGUACGGCCGCAAGGCUGAAACUCAAAGGAAUUGACGGGGGCCCGCACAAGCGGUGGAGCAUGUGGUUUAAUUCGAAGCUACGCGAAGAACCUUACCAGGUCUUGACAUACUAUGCAAAUCUAAGAGAUUAGACGUUCCCUUCGGGGACAUGGAUACAGGUGGUGCAUGGUUGUCGUCAGCUCGUGUCGUGAGAUGUUGGGUUAAGUCCCGCAACGAGCGCAACCCUUAUUAUCAGUUGCCAGCAUUAAGUUGGGCACUCUGGUGAGACUGCCGGUGACAAACCGGAGGAAGGUGGGGAUGACGUCAAAUCAUCAUGCCCCUUAUGACCUGGGCUACACACGUGCUACAAUGGAUGGUACAACGAGUUGCGAACUCGCGAGAGUAAGCUAAUCUCUUAAAGCCAUUCUCAGUUCGGAUUGUAGGCUGCAACUCGCCUACAUGAAGUCGGAAUCGCUAGUAAUCGCGGAUCAGCAUGCCGCGGUGAAUACGUUCCCGGGCCUUGUACACACCGCCCGUCACACCAUGAGAGUUUGUAACACCCAAAGUCGGUGGGGUAACCUUUUAGGAACCAGCCGCCUAAGGUGGGACAGAUGAUUAGGGUG